GAUGAACGCUAGCUACAGGCUUAACACAUGCAAGUCGAGGGGAAACGACAUUGGAAGCUUGCUUCCUUUGGGCGUCGACCGGCGCACGGGUGAGUAACGCGUAUCCAACCUUCCCGCAAGUAAGGGAUAACCCGUAGAAAUGCGGCCUAAUACCUUAUGUUUUCCUUAGAGGGCAUCUGAUGAGGAACAAAGAUCCGUCGCUUGCGGAUGGGGAUGCGUCUGAUUAGUUAGUCGGCGGGGUAACGGCCCACCGAGACGACGAUCAGUAGGGGUUCUGAGAGGAAGGUCCCCCACAUUGGAACUGAGACACGGUCCAAACUCCUACGGGAGGCAGCAGUGAGGAAUAUUGGUCAAUGGACGAGAGUCUGAACCAGCCAAGUAGCGUGCAGGAUGACGGCCCUAUGGGUUGUAAACUGCUUUUAUAAGGGAAUAAAGUGAGUCUCGUGAGACUUUUUGCAUGUACCUUAUGAAUAAGGACCGGCUAAUUCCGUG
rnacentral:rRNA from 1 species